CUCUUGCCACCUGCAUCCAAUUCUCCCCACAACAGCUGGGAUAAUCUUUGAAAACCAUAAAUCAGCUCGUGCAUUUGUUCCAUGACCUUCUUAGAUAUCCAUGAUUACAAAUCCAGUGCAGUUUAUGAUAUUAUCAGACAGGCAGUACAAAUGACUAAGCCACGAGAUCAUUUUAAAAGAUGCAAAAUUACGUUUGGCAAACUCAGUACCGGCUCACCAUAAACUCUCCUUUCAUGAGCAACGGAGGGAAACUCCUUCAUCUGUUAAAGUGCAUCUGCAAAGAACUUACGCCUAACAUGGCGAUGAACAGUGAAACCCUGAAUGCUUUCGUCACUAAGAUCAGCAACAAGGCAGAGGCUGUCC